rnacentral:misc_RNA from 1 species
CCUGUUCGAGCGUCAUUAUACCCCUCAAGCUCGGCUUGGUGUUGGGGCUUGCUUAUAGGCAGCCCUUAAAAUCAGUGGCGGUGCCAACUGGCUCUAAGCGUAGUAAUACCUCUCGCUACAGAGCCCUGUGGACGCUUGCCAACAACCCCUAAUUUUCUAUGGUUGACCUCGGAUCAGGUAGGGAUACCCGCUGAACUUAA